UACGGAGGGGGCUAGCGUUGUUCGGAAUUACUGGGCGUAAAGCGCACGCAGGCGGAUAUUUAAGUCAGGGGUGAAAUCCCGGGGCUCAACCCCGGAACUGCCUUUGAUACUGGGUAUCUGGAGGUCGAGAGAGGCGAGUGGAAUUCCGAGUGUAGAGGUGAAAUUCGUAGAUAUUCGGAGGAACACCAGUGGCGAAGGCGGCUCGCUGGCUCGAUACUGACGCUGAGGUGCGAAAGCGUGGGGAGCAAACAGG
rnacentral:rRNA from 1 species